ensembl:lncRNA
CUUCGAAAUCUCCUAGAGGAGUUGUUAAAAUACAGAUCCCACCUCCUGAACUUCUAAUUCCAAAGUUCUAGUUUGGAGCCUUAGAAACUUCAUUCCUAUCAAGUUCUUAGAUGAUAUUGAUACCGAUGCUGCUGGCCUGGGGACCACAUUAAUACAAGUACAUGUAACAUAGACGUUGUACUAUGGAGCCUCAACCAAUCUAAUUAUUUUAGCAGAUGGGUAGGUUAGAAAGGAGUCUCCACCUAUGCAUUUUGGAAAACAAAAAAUUGAAUGUAGAUAAUCCUUGGUAUAAAUCCCUAGAUUUGAGCUCAGCUAUACCAGAGUGCAAAAGUAAUUAGCCUCCAAUUAAAAUACAUAAAUUAAAAAAAAAAUAGGUAAGAUAUUGCUUGCUAUCCAGUCUAAGGAUGUUCAUUGGGUCACCACAUAUGUAAUCCUGGCUUUGCAGGUACACAAAGCAUCAAGAAUUUAUUUUUUGGUGGAGGGUGUACUUUGGUGUUUCAGUUUGCCCUCCUCACCCAGAAUGUCAUUAGCAGAACAACAAAGCUUCUAAAAAACCCCAAAGUUUCAGAGUGUGAUCUGAAGUUCCGCUCAUGUGACCCAAGGAAGCAAAGUUCAUCACCUCAGUGUGGCCCUUGACCUCUGCGAAUGAUCGGUUGGGUUGCUAUCACCUCUGGGUCCCCGAGCACCCUGGCUGGCCCAGGCUUCUGCUUCCGUCACUCUGGAUGGCCCUCAUACUAAGGUGAUGAUGACAACAAGCAUAAAGAAGCCUUUCAAUAGUGACUUCCUGUAUCUCGCUUAUCCCAGCUCAGAAAAAGCUUGCCAUUCAAAUGAACUGGCGUCACAGACGCACUGGAAGAAGGGAGGGAAGGAGCAGAGGGAUGGGGCGGGGGGGCCCUUUCAAAAGCUCUCCCUGUGAGAAGAGGUGACUGGAACAGGAAGAAGAGGAGCCCCAGGCUGGCUGUUUUUAGCCUGAGACGUGGAGCCCUUUGGUCCCCUCUCCUCUUCCUCUCAGGCCCUCCGAACUUGCCAAAGGCGUAGGUCGCCCAGGCAGCUCAUUCUGUCCGCUCUGCUCUCAAACAAGCAAGCAGGGCCAAAGCUAUGUGUGCGGAAACACAGGCUUUUCCGUCAAAAUCUGCAAACUCCGUUCACAACGCUGUCUUCCGGGAUCAAAGCAUCGCCUCCCAAAUGAUGCUGCUCAGGGAGGGACCCAGGAAGGAAGAGAAAGGAAAAUUCACAAUGCUUUGGUGUCGACGUUGACUCUUCACACUCAAGGGGUCAACCCGGUUCCUGUUCCAGCAGAGGGAACAGCUUGUGUCUGGUGGGGGAAGGUGUGGAGUCCCUGCUGUAGGUUCCAUGCUGAGAUGGCUUGCUGACUGAAGAUGCAGGCUCUUGCAUCAGAGAAAGGAGAGCAGGGCCAUUUGGACUUCAGACCUCAGACCACGCUUAGUUUUCUCAGGUUUCCCUGUAUACAAAGGGAGAUUUUCCAUCGAGAACCAGCCAGCAGCACAGCCAGAUCUCAGCAUGGCCACUAAACCUGGGCACGUGAGCUUGGUUAUCAUUCCCCAGUGGCUCUGUAUCAUCACCCCAUUUGAGUUUCCCAUCCUAUUGUUUUUUUCCCCGCUGAAGCAAGGCUUAGGUAUAAGCAGGGGAAAAGAAAUACAGUAGUGUGUCAAGCAAAGAAAAAAUGAUUAGUUUUAAGAUCCAGGACAAAAAGGUUAGUACAGUGAUAGGAUGCUGGCAGUGGGAAGCCAGCACACAGGACUUCCUGGGACACACCUCCUUGUGUUUGCCUUACUUUGUGGAGGGAAGGCAGCUAUUGUCUGCAACACCUGGCAAGUAUGGGCUCACCCACGGCAAUCAGUCUAACUGGCUUCAGUCUUGAAGAGGGUACCAAUCAUGUUGGCCACGGGGGAGUCUUCCAGACAGCUCUGAAUUCUGAAGAGGGUGGCAAAGCCAAAAGCACCAGCGGUGCUGGUUUCCAGACUCCCUAGCCAGUCCCACUGUUUGUCACAGUGUACUCACAACAGUUUUGAUUAAAUCGAGUCAUUGAAAGAAAUGAUCCUUGUGGAAUGACAUGGAAGUGGAAAUGGAAACCACGGUUCCACAUAACAUGAGAUGCUCCAACGGAACGUAUGGAAAAUCAACAUCACUUAUACCAUAUACAGAACUCCUUCCUACCCCAGACUCUGAGGCCUGGUUUUCUUCCUUUCAAAGGUAGACCCACCAGAGUUAGAGAGACGACAGAGACGUGCUAGCAGCAAAUAGAGACUACCUCAUCAGGAGAAAUGAAAGAGGUUGAAGCGAAAUCUCACCAUGGGAUCUAAAGUUAUUC